rnacentral:rRNA from 1 species
UACAGAGGCCACAAGCGUUCGACGGAAUCACUGGGCUUAAAGCGUGUGUAGGCGGGAUGGUAAGUACCUUGUGAAAUCCCACAGCUUAACUGUGGAAAUGCUUGGUAUACUGCCGUUCUUGAGUCACCUAGGGGCAGCUGGAACAGAUGGUGGAGCGGUGAAAUGCAUAGAUAUCAUCUGGAACGCCAAUGGUGCAGACAAGCUGCUGGGGGUGUACUGACGCUGAGGCACGAAAGCCAGGGGAGCAAACGGG